UGGAACACUAGGUACAGGAAGUGGUUGCAACAAACCACAAGGAAGCUUAUGAGGGACUUUAGAAACAGCACAAACUGAACAAGCCUGCACAUAGUCCUUCACAUCGUUUUUAAGGGAAUCCCACUAAAAUGAUCUUGUGAUUGCAGUUAAGGAUUUAUUAAUACCUGGGUGUCCAGCAGUCACAUUGUCAUGGAACACCCUCAGCACAUUCUUUCUUUCACCUAAUGGAACAAACAAUUUGUCCAGUGGUUUAUUGCAUGGUGC